rnacentral:rRNA from 1 species
AAACGCUUGAAGUCAGUCGCGUUGAUUAGGGAUCAACCUUGCUUUUGCUUGGUGUACUUCCUUGUUUAACGGGUCAGCAUCAAUUUUGAUCAGUGGAAAAAGGUCAGGGAAAUGUGGCAUCUUUGGAUGUGUUAUAGCCUCUGGCCAUAUACAUUGAUUGGGAUUGAGGAACUCAGCACGCCGCAAGGCCGGGUUUUUACCACGUUCGUGCUUAGGAUGCUGGCAUAAUGGCUUUAAUCGA